rnacentral:rRNA from 1 species
GAUGAACGCUGGCGGCGUGCUUAACACAUGCAAGUCGAACGAGAGAAGAUCGGUGCUUGCACUGAUCCGAUCGAGUGGCGGACGGGUGAGUAACGCGUGGGUAACCUGCCUCAUACAGGGGAAUAACAGUUGGAAACGGCUGCUAAAACCGCAUAAGCGCACAGUAUCGCAUGAUACAGUGUGAAAAACUCCGGUGGUAUGAGAUGGACCCGCGUCUGAUUAGCUAGUUGGUGAGGUAACGGCCCACCAAGGCAACGAUCAGUAGCCGGCCUGAGAGGGUGAACGGCCACAUUGGGACUGAGACACGGCCCAAACUCCUACGGGAGGCAGCAGUGGGGAAUAUUGCACAAUGGGGGAAACCCUGAUGCAGCGACGCCGCGUGAGUGAUGAAGUAUUUCGGUAUGUAUAGCUCUAUCAGCAGGGAAGAUGAUGAUGGUACCUGACUAAGAAGCACCGGCUAAAUACGUGCCAGCAGCCGCAGUAA